UACGGAGGAUGCAAGCGUUAUCCGGAAUUAUUGGGCGUAAAGCGUCCGCAGGUGGCACUUCAAGUCUGCUGUCAAAGACCGGGGCUUAACCCUGGAAAGGCAGUGGAAACUGAAGCGCUAGAGUGUGGCAGGGGUAGAGGGAAUUCCCGGUGUAGCGGUGAAAUGCGUAGAGAUCGGGAAGAACAUCGGUGGCGAAAGCGCUCUACUGGGCCAUAACUGACGCUGAGACGCGAAAGCGUGGGGAGCAAACAGG
rnacentral:rRNA from 1 species